GAUGAACGCUGGCGGCGUGCUUAACACAUGCAAGUCGAACGAAGCACUAUAGCAGAUUUCCUUCGGGAAUGAAACUGUAUUGACUGAGUGGCGGACGGGUGAGUAACGCGUGGGUAACCUGCCCUACACAGGGGGACAACAGCUGGAAACGGCUGCUAAUACCGCAUAAGCGCACAGUACCGCAUGGUACAGUGUGAAAAACUCCGGUGGUGUAGGAUGGACCCGCGUCCGAUUAGCUAGUUGGUGAGGUAAGAGCUCACCAAGGCGACGAUCGGUAGCCGGCCUGAGAGGGCGGACGGCCACAUUGGGACUGAGACACGGCCCAGACUCCUGCGGGAGGCAGCAGUGGGGGAUAUUGCACAAUGGGGGAAACCCUGAUGCAGCGACGCCGCGUGAGUGAAGAAGUAUUUCGGUAUGUAAAGCUCUAUCAGCAGGGAAGAAAAUGACGGUACCUGACUAAGAAGCCCCGGCUAACUACGUGCCAGCAGCCGCAGUAACAC
rnacentral:rRNA from 1 species